CGCCAGCCUGACGGAGCCAGACCGCGUGGGGGAGGAAGGCCCUUGGGUUGUAAACCCCUUUUCUCAGGGAAGAAACCUGACGGUACCUGAGGAAAAAGCCUCGGCUAACUCCGUGCCAGCAGCCGCGGUAAUACGGAGGAGGCAAGCGUUAUCCGGAAUUACUGGGCGUAAAGCGUUCGUAGGGGGCUCGUCAAGUCUGCUGUCAAAGACCGGAGCUCAACUCCGGGCAGGCAGUGGAAACUGGUGCGCUAGAGGUCGACAGGGGUAGAGGGAAUUCCCAGUGUAGCGGUGAAAUGCGUAGAGAUUGGGAAGAACACCAGAGGCGAAAGCGUUCUGCUGGGCCGCACCUGACCCUGAGGGACGAAAGCCAGGGGAGCG
rnacentral:rRNA from 1 species